AUGGGCAUGAAGAGGAGGAUCCACCUGGAGCUGAGGAACCAGACCCCGGCAGCUGUUGAGAACUUGUCUUGGACAAUUGCAAAUCAAAUGAUGGAAAAAUUGAAGGCUUAACAGCUGAAUUUGUGAACCUAGAGUUCCUCAGUUUAAGAAAUGUAGACUUGAUCUCAGUUUCAAAUCUCCCCAAGUUGCCUAAAUUGAGAAAGCUUGAACUCAGUGAAAAUAGAAUCUUUGGAGGUCUGGACAUGUUAGCUGAAAAACUUCCAAAUCUCACACAUCUAAACUUAAGUGGAAAUAAACUGAAAGUUAGAAUGUCUGAAAAGCCUGGACCUCUUUAACUGUGAGGUUACUAACCUGAGUGACUACCGAGAGAGUGUCUUCAAGCUCCUGUCCCAGCUUACCUACUUGGAUGGCUAUGACCAAGAGGACCAGGAAGCACCUGACUCAGAUGCCCAGGUGGAUGGUGUGGAUGAAGAGGAGGAUGAAGAAGGAGAAGAUGAGGAAGAUGAGGAGGAUGAGAAUGGUGAAGAAGAGGAGUUUGAUGAAGAAGAUGAUGAAGAUGAAGAUGUAGAAGGGGAUGAGGAGGACGAUGAAGUCAGUGAGGAGGAAGAAGAAUUUGGACUUGAUGAAGAAGGUGCAAGAUGAGGAUGAAGAUGAAGAGGAGGAAGAAGGCAGGAAAGGUGAAAAGAGGAAGAGAGAAACAGAUGAUGAAGGAGAAGAUGAUUAAGACCCCAGAUAACCUGCAGAAACAGAACUGUUCAGUGUUGAUUGGACUGCUCAUGGAUUUGGUAGCUGUUU